AUGGAUCGCCAUUCAACUACUACACAAAGCGACCUGGAGCGCAUGCUAUGUGAUGAAAAGGUAGAACCGAAGGCCCUUCCAUUAUCGCUGCUGGAGGAUAUCACCAACCGAUUUUCUGAGGAGCGGGAAAUUGGUAGAGGUGGGUUCGCAGUGGUCUAUAAGGGAGUGCUUAAGAAUGGUGCGGCAAUUGCUGUGAAGAGACUAUCUAAGACAUAUAUGUGCGAGAAAGAAUUCCACCGAGAGGUUGAAUGUCUGAUAAAGGUGAAUCACAAAAAUGUGGUACGGUUUAUUGGAUAUUGUGUCGACUCACAAGGGAGAGCAGAAAGCUACAAUGGAAAAUUUGUCAUGGCAGAUGUAGUACAAAGAUUGCUCUACUUUGAGUACCUACCUCAUGGAACUCUUGAUAAAUAUAUCACUGAUGCAUCUACUGGACUUGACUAG
rnacentral:rRNA from 1 species